rnacentral:sRNA from 1 species
GCCAGGUGCGGUGUCCCACGCCUGUAAUCCCAGCAGCUGGGGAGGCUGAGGCAGGAGGAUCGCAAGUUCAAAGCCAGCCUCAGCAACUCAGCAAGGCCCUGUCUCUA